rnacentral:tRNA from 1 species
UAUAAAGUAGUAUUUAAGUACGGUGGGUUUUGAUUCCAUAAGAGCAAAGUAAGAGGUGUCUUUAUAU